UGGUGAAGAAGGAUAGAGGUAGUAACUGGCCUUUAUUUGACGGUAAUCAACCAGAAAGUCACGGCUAACUACGUGCCAGCAGCCGCGGUAAUACGUAGGGAGCAAGCGUUAUCCGGAUUUACUGGGUGUAAAGGGAGCGUAGACGGCAAAGCAAGUCUGAAGUGAAAGCCCGGGGCUCAACCCCGGGACUGCUUUGGAAACUGUUCUGCUAGAGUGCUGGAGAGGUAAGCGGAAUUCCUAGUGUAGCGGUGAAAUGCGUAGAUAUUAGGAGGAACACCAGUGGCGAAGGCGGCUUACUGGACAGUAACUGACGUUGAGGCUCGAAAGCG
rnacentral:rRNA from 1 species